CUACGGGGGGCUCCAGUGAGGGAUUUUGCGCAAUGGGGGGAACCCUGACGCAGCAACGCCGCGUGAGUGAAGAAGGCCCUUGGGUCGUAAAGCUCUGUCAACAGGGAAGAAGUUAUGAAUUUUUAAUAGAGAUUUGUAUUGACGGUACCUGUGAAGGAAGCACCGGCUAACUCCGUGCCAGCAGCCGCGGUAAUACGGGGGGUGCAAGCGUUAUUCGGAAUUAUUGGGCGUAAAGGGCGCGCAGGCGGCCUUGUCAGUCAGAUGUGAAAGCCCAGGGCUCAACCCUGGAUGUGCAUUUGAAACAGCAAGGCUUGAGUACGGUAGAGGAAAGGGGAAUUCCUGGUGUAGAGGUGAAAUUCGUAGAUAUCAGGAGGAACACCGGUGGCGAAGGCGCCUUUCUGGACCUGUACUGACGCUGAGGCGCGAAGGCGUGGGUAGCGAACAGGAUUAGAUACCCUAGUAGUC
rnacentral:rRNA from 1 species